rnacentral:rRNA from 1 species
GUCUAUGGUCAUAGCACCUUGAAUGCACCCUAUCGCAUCUGAUCUCAGAAGCUAAGCAAGGUUGGGCCUGGUUAGUUCUUGGAUGGGAGAACUCUCAUGUCUAAAAUCGACA